GAUGAACGCUAGCGGCAGGCCUAACACAUGCAAGUCGAGGGAGAAGCCCUUCGGGGCAGAAACCGGCGCACGGGUGCGUAACGCGUAUGCAACCUACCUUUCACAGGGGGAUAGCCCGAAGAAAUUUGGAUUAAUACCCCAUAAUAUUAUUGGAUGGCAUCAUUUGAUAAUUAAAAUUACGAUGGUGAAAGAUGGGCAUGCGUCCUAUUAGCUAGUUGGAGUGGUAACGGCACCCCAAGGCUACGAUAGGUAGGGGUCCUGAGAGGGAGAUCCCCCACACUGGUACUGAGACAGGGACCAGACUCCUACGGGAGGCAACAGUGAGGAAUAUUGGUCAAUGGUCGGAAGACUGAACCAGCCAUGCCGCGUGCAGGAAGAAUGCCUUAUGGGUUGUAAACUGCUUUUAUAUGGGAAGAAUAAGGAGUACGCGUACUUUGAUGACGGUACCAUAUGAAUAAGC
rnacentral:rRNA from 1 species